rnacentral:piRNA from 1 species
UCUAUAUUUAUAUUUUCAUACUCGUUGC